CAUGUGCAGACAGUUCCCUCCACCCAGCUUUGUUCUGUCAUGAAGCUGGGAGUUGUGAGAUUAGGUGCAGUUCAUAUCUGCAACAGCAAAUUUGGAAACUAUACACUAUCUCAGAAAAAAGGGGUUAUAACUUAUAAGAAAGACAGGAGUUUAAGACAGAUAGGACUGAUAUUUACAUUUUCCCAGGGCAGCAGAGAGAGACAGUAGCCGCAGUGAAGGAGCAGACAAUGGUUUUCUCAAAGCUAAUGAGGGGACGGGACUAACAAUCAGAGGUCGCAGUCAAGCACAUAGCACCAGAUAGUAUCAGACUGUGAAGAGGGACAUGGGCUGGGACCAAAAAAAGGCCCUGGACUUUGACCCAAAUCAGCCCACCCACCGGCCGAUGCACAUUUCCAACAGCAACAGCACCACAUCGUUAUCUAGCAUCCAUCAUGAUUAACACUAGAACCAACAGGCCUUUUUGACCCCCAGGAUCCGCGAGGACCCAACGCCAUUUGACGUCAUUAGCAUAUGAAUCGCCCGUAUUAGCAUGGACAUUCUCCUCCACAGCAUCACCAUCCAGCCAGAGCAUCAGUUUAUCUAAUUGGUCUUUAUCCAACUAUAUAGAAAAAAUGAGGAAUUACAGAAUUUGUUUGUUUUAAAUACUUAAUGAAUUAGAAAGAUACAAGAAUGUGUUUGUAAUGUAGGUC